GUCUAUGAGUUGAGAAUUAUCAGUUUUUAUUCUCGACGAAAUCACUUCUCUAGAAUACCUCAAGAGAAGACGAACAACAAAGAGGAGUCAUCCAACUCAGAGAAAUAUCCAUUAUGAUUAAUUCUCCCAACCAAAGGUAAGUUUUUCAGUUCUGUAUGGCUUCAUGUUCAUCUCCUUCUCUAACUGUAAGUGGCAGCCAAGAUUUCAUCCCAAGAGAUAAAUCUAUGGUUGUGGUGUGAUCUCAUGAUAUUCUACCUUAAAUGAAAUUUCAUUCAUUAUCGCAUUUCCGUUUUUGUUCUUAUGGUGUGAUAUCAUAAAUUCUUCUUCUCAUGUGCUUUGGGAGUUAUGAGUAGCGAAUGAUUUUAUCCUGUGCACCAAAUUGCUCUCUCUCCCUCUCUCCCAGCCGAAAGACUCAAAUUCUCUGUUUACUCAAAUUCUGGGUAAUCCUGAAAUUUGAUAGCUUCAUAUGUUGAUAAUAUUCUGCAUCAUUCUGGAUGUCUAGAAGUGAAUUAAUUAUAGACAUACCCAUAGAGUAUUGAAUUAGUUCAGAUCUACAAAAAUUGGUAAAUGUUGUCCUCACAUAAGAAAUUUCGAUGGCUGCUCUUUUUGUUCUUUUUUGGAUUAACUUCCAUCCGGUCAUGUUUUCACGAUCGAUCUUCCCCGGUUUAGUUGUAAGUCAUUUUUGGUUCUAUUAGUUUCCAUGGGUUUGGCUGUUUGAGUUAUUUGGGUGUUUAUGGUUUAUUUCAUAAAACUAUGAACCCCAUUAUUUUCUUUGGAAACUUAAAAAUACACAACCACUAAUAAUAUGUGCGGGAUCUUCUUUGCUCCAAGGUUGACAUCAAGACACAAUACGAGAGGAAUUCAGUAUUCAGGGUUCAAAUAAAAUCAGAGUAAAAAAAUGAAAAUAAGACUUAUCCUUUCGUGGUCUCCAACUCGCCGCAGAAACCAUGGUGUUUAACGAGCAAGACUAUGGGUGAUGCGCGUUUACGAAGGUAAAAAAUUUGUUUGGUUCUUUCUUGCAGCGGAUAACAUAAUUGAGGUCGCCGUAAUUUUGUGUUUUACUGUGUCGAUACAUUAACUUUCGAUGAUUGGUGUUAUUUCACAGAAAUGUACUUCAUGAACAGCCAACAUAUGAUAACACUAUUGAUGUCCGCCAUUACUCUGUUCUGGAGGAAAAUGGUCAUCCUUUACCAUUCGCCUAUCUUUUGUUUCAGAUUGUCUGCAUUUAUUUUCUGAAUUGAGUCUGAUUAGGAAACAAUUGAGUCUGAUUACGAAGCUUUUGUCAUGUGAAAAUGGUUAGGCCCCUCACUUGACAGAUGCUUAGUGGUGUGUAGUCAUGUGUACGCGUUGCGGUGCGGGAAAAAUGGUAUCCUUGGAACUUGGUUUAACUGAUGGGAUACUUUUGUCGACCGAUAACCGGAAUCUCAUGGUCAAAUUUUUGCUAAGAAGGAAAUACUACUUCGUGUUGAUGGGUAGUUGCAGUGAAACAACUCAACAUGGAUGCGGUUAAGGGAAAAGAAUGUAAUAGUACUUGAGAGAGCCAUUGGCUUGCCAUAUUUUCAGGUACACCAGACAGCUAACUUGGACGGUGUUAUAUGUUUCGGGUUCAAAUUCCUAUUCUUCGGAAUUGUCAUCUUGAGAUAAAUUUACAUAUUGAAGUUUUUGAUGAGUUUAAUGUAGAUAUAUGACAUCCAUCUGGUGGAAGAUCAAAUUUGAAGGAAACAACCAGCAAUGUGAUUACCAUGUUUUGUAGAAUAAUAUAUCAAAAUGAAGAAGACAUGUUUGGAACAACGGAAUGAUUGACCAUGUUCCAUGUAAAAUUUGUGGUUGGCAAGACUUUCAGUCAAUUCUAUAUUUUAUUCAUUAGCAUAUUAACUUCCAUAUUAUUUUUUAACUUUUUUUAAGCA